rnacentral:rRNA from 1 species
AUUGAACGCUGGCGGCAGGCCUAACACAUGCAAGUCGAGCGGAUGAAGGGAGCUUGCUCCUGGAUUCAGCGGCGGACGGGUGAGUAAUGCCUAGGAAUCUGCCUGGUAGUGGGGGAUAACGUCUGGAAACGGGCGCUAAUACCGCAUACGUCCUGAGGGAGAAAGUGGGGGAUCUUCGGACCUCACGCUAUCAGAUGAGCCUAGGUCGGAUUAGCUAGUUGGUGGGGUAAAGGCCUACCAAGGCGACGAUCCGUAACUGGUCUGAGAGGAUGAUCAGUCACACUGGAACUGAGACACGGUCCAGACUCCUACGGGAGGCAGCAGUGGGGAAUAUUGGACAAUGGGCGAAAGCCUGAUCCAGCCAUGCCGCGUGUGUGAAGAAGGUCUUCGGAUUGUAAAGCACUUUAAGUUGGGAGGAAGGGCAGUAAGUUAAUACCUUGCUGUUUUAACGUUACCAACAGAAUAAGCACCGGCUAACUUCGUG